rnacentral:rRNA from 1 species
AGAGUUUGAUCCUUGCUCAGGAUGAACGCUGGCGGCGUGCCUAACACAUGCAAGUCGAGCGAUGAAGCUUGAAGGAAUUCUUCGGAAUGAAAACAAGUGGAUUAGCGGCGGACGGGUGAGUAGCGCGUGGGCAACCUGCCUUAUACCAGAGGAUAGCUCCUGGAAACGGGUGGUAAUACUCUAUAAGCUUACGACAAGACAUCUUGAUGUAAGAAAAGGUUUACUGGUAUAAGAGGGGCCCGCGUCUGAUUAGAUAGUUGGUGGGGUAACGGCCUACCAAGUCAACGAUCAGUAGCCGACCUGAGAGGGUGAUCGGCCACAUUGGAACUGAGACACGGUCCAGACUCCUACGGGAGGCAGCAGUGGGGAAUAUUGCACAAUGGAGGGAACUCUGAUGCAGCAACGCCGCGUGAAGGAAGAAGUAUUUCGGUAUGUAAACUUCUAUCAGUAGGGAAGAAAAGAAUGACGGUACCUAACUAAGAAGAACCGGCUAAAUACGUGCCAGCAGCCGCGGUAAUACGUAUGGUUCAAGCGUUAUCCGGAUUUACUGGGUGUAAAGGGUGAGUAGGCGGUUAUGCAAGUCAUAUGUGAAAUGUCGGGGCUCAACUCCGGCCUGCAUAAGAAACUGUAUAACUAGAGUGCAGGAGAGGCAAGCGGAAUUCCUAGUGUAGCGGUGAAAUGCGUAGAUAUUAGGAAGAACACCGGUGGCGAAGGCGGCUUGCUGGACUGUUACUGACGCUGAGUCACGAAAGCGUGGGGAGCAAACAGGAUUAGAUACCCUGGUAGUCCACGCCGUAAACGAUGAGUGC